rnacentral:rRNA from 1 species
CCUACGGGAGGCAGCAGUAAGGAAUAUUGGUCAAUGGAGGCAACUCUGAACCAGCCAUGCCGCGUGCAGGAAGAAGGCCCUAUGGGUCGUAAACUGCUUUUGUACCAGAGAAAACCCGAGUACGUGUACUCGGUUGAUAGUAUGGUAAGAAUAAGCAUCGGCUAACUUCGUGCCAGCAGCCGCGGUAAGACGAAGGAUGCAAGCGUUAUCCGGAUUCAUUGGGUUUAAAGGGUGCGUAGGCGGACUGAUAAGUCAGUGGUGAAAUCUCUCGGCUUAACCGAGAAACUGCCAUUGAUACUGUUAGUCUAGAGUAUAGAUGACGUUGGCGGAAUAUGACAUGUAGUGGUGAAAUACUUAGAUAUGUCAUAGAACACCGAUUGCGAAGGCAGCUAACGAAACUAUAACUGACGCUGAGGCACGAAAGUGCGGGGAUCAAACAGGAUUAGAUACCCUGGUAGUCCGCACCGUAAACGAUGAUUACUCGUUGUUGGCAAUAUGACCGUCAGCGACCAAGCGAAAGCGAUAAGAAUCCACCUGGGGAGUACGCCGGCAACGGUGAAACUCAAAUGAAAUUGACGGCNGAGAGAGACGACGACGACGACGAGGGAGGAGG